AGUGAACGCUGGCGGUAGGCCUAACACAUGCAAGUCGAACGGCAGCACAGUAAGAGCUUGCUCUUACGGGUGGCGAGUGGCGGACGGGUGAGGAAUACAUCGGAAUCUACUUUUUCGUGGGGGAUAACGUAGGGAAACUUACGCUAAUACCGCAUACGACCUACGGGUGAAAGCAGGGGAUCUUCGUACCUUGCGCGAUUGAAUGAGCCGAUGCCGGAGUAGCUAGUUGGCGGGGUAAAGGCCCACCAAGGCGUCGAUCCGUAGCUGGUCUGAGAGGAUGAUCAGCCACACUGGAACUGAGACACGGUCCAGACUCCUACGGGAGGCAGCAGUGGGGAAUAUUGGACAAUGGGCGCAAGCCUGAUCCAGCCAUACCGCGUGGGUGAAGAAGGCCUUCGGGUUGUAAAGCCCUGUUGUUGGGAAAGAAAAGCAGCAGGUUAAUACCCCGCUGUUCUGACGGUACCCAAAGAAUAAGCACCGGCUAACUUCGUG
rnacentral:rRNA from 1 species